rnacentral:rRNA from 1 species
AACGUAGGAGACAAACGUUAUCCGGAGUUACUGGGCGUAAAGCGCACGUAGGCGGCUUUGCAAGUUAGAGGUGAAAGCCCGGGGCUCAACUCCGGAAUUGCCUUUAAAACUGCAUCGCUAGAAUUGUGGAGAGGUAAGUGGAAUUCCGAGUGUAGAGGUGAAAUUCGUAGAUAUUCGGAAGAACACCAGUGGCGAAGGCGACUUACUGGACACAUAUUGACGCUGAGGUGCGAAAGCGUGGGGAGCAAACAGG